rnacentral:rRNA from 1 species
UUCUUCGGAGAGUUUGAUCCUGGCUCAGGAUGAACGCUGGCGGCGUGCCUAAUACAUGCAAGUCGAGCGAACUGAUUAUAAGAUUUAUUCUAUGACGUUAGCGGCGGACGGGUGAGUAACACGUGGGCAACCUGCCUGUAAGACUGGGAUAACUUCGGGAAACCGAAGCUAAUACCGGAUAGGAUCUUCUCCUUCAUGGGAGAUGAUUGAAAGAUGGUUUCGGCUAUCGCUUACAGAUGGGCCCGCGGUGCAUUAGCUAGUUGGUGAGGUAACGGCUCACCAAG